GCCCGGUUAGCUCAAUCGGUAGAGCGUGAGACUCUUAAUCUCAAGGUUGCGGGUAAGCUCACAAAAUCAACACUACACAAAUAAUCAAGUCACGUGCUAAUCACGUGAUCUCGCAGGUUCGACCCCCGCAUCGGGCU